GAAGAAAGCUGAGGUAUGAGACUUUAUACUCCAUAUUAUUUGUGACAGCUUUUGUACCUUUUUUUCUGAGAGUGCGAGGAGGAAUGUAACCCUGGUUUUCCUGCUUUUACUUUCUCUUCUCACGACUCCCUACUGUUCACGCUAUCGCGAGAUUUAUGCAAGUAUUGCAUAGAGGUCGCAUCAUUUCCCUUUAAAUAUGGCGGCGCGCUAUUGUGUGUGUGUGUGUGUGUGUGUGUGUGUGUGUGUGUGUGAGAGAGUCGAUGUCUUGUGCUGCUGCAGGUAGGCGGUUAACCCUGUAAAUGUAUUAUAUUGAUUCAUUAGACUGCCGGUUUUGAAUUAUGCCUGCCAAUUUUCUCCAUUUUGGUUAAGACUGUGCUGUGUUGAGUGACUUAAUGAUACGAGAACUGGCCAGGUUUUUUGUAUUGAUGGCGAGCUACUAGGCCCUGAACCAAAGACUGGGAGUGCAAGCAUCUGCCGGUGUGGUAGGAGGCGCUGCAGUCGCUCCCCUCGCAUACCAUUAUACACCCUUGCACAUCCUUAUUACAUAUCUUCAUGCACAUUCAUUUCUGCUUUAUGGACUGAUCUUUCUUGAACUCUCUUUGAUUGUCGGACGUUGCUUAUUGCGUGGGUGAUAUAUGAACAGUUGCAGCACUUAAAUUCUUCAAUCCAUGUAUACAUUCUGAGGACACUUGAAUGGUUCAAGAAUCAUUUUGAACUCAAUACUAUCUAUGUGUAUAUGUAAAUGUUGUCAAAUUAUUUCACUGUAAUAUACUUCACCACUGAGUAUUGCAAUUUUGUGUCUGUCUCAUUGAACACACCAUUUUCCUCCUUGAGCUGAAUUUAGUCUUCUGAUAUUGGUCCAUUAUUUUAAUCUGCUAUUGCAGUAUUUAUACACGUUACAUGAACAUAAGAUCUUAUUUUUGAUAUAAUAUGUUCAGUUCAUCUCUAGAAUAUGCCUGAGAUACCGACAUCGGAUCAACUUUUGGAUGUAUCCUUCACUGCUUAUGAUAUCCCACAAUUCUGUGCUUUUGCAGGA
rnacentral:lncRNA from 1 species